rnacentral:lncRNA from 1 species
GAUCUUUUCAUUGCCUUGAAUUUGAUUAUCCUCCUCCCUUCACCAUCUAGACAGCUCUGAAUAAGUCCGCCAGGCCCUGACUUAGGCUCCUGUUGUUGGGGAAGCUGUCACUGCCUGACCUCUUGAGAUGAAGCUAAGUGCUUCCACCUGAGGGCUCUCCCUCCACUGCAUUUAGUUGUCUCGUCUCCUACCCUCUUGAACACCCCCCCAUCAACUGCUAAAUUGUUUGAGAGUAGAGAUCCUGGUAUUGGGGGACUCUCAAAACAUUUGCAGUGAAUUAAAGGAAGAGAAUAGUACCAGGAAGGAAAGCUGAGUAGCAUGGUGAAGGUGCUGAUCAUCUUCAGUCCAUAACCCAGGACCU